UAAGAUAUAGUAAACAGUGGAUAAAAUAUAAAAGGGAGAGAAAAAGAAAGAAACGCAGGGAAUAUAUCAUUUUUAGUAAAACACCUUUCCAUCUUUUUGUCUUAGCAAAUUAUAGCGCAGGUUAGUGCAAAGUUAAUCGAGUGUUCUAAAAGCGGAAAACCUAGAACAGAUUGUGUGAAGAUAACACAGUAAGUUUUUAGCGAAAUUGCAAGGUCACCUUGGAAAGAGCGGUGCAAUAAAUGUAUAUUCCAAUAGACAUGUAAUUUUGGAUGAAAGUGCAGUGAAUAUAAAUACCAGAAUACAUACGAGUUCUUCGCCUCUGCAAGGCGUCGCCGACAGCCCUCAAAACCCAGGUCUGACAAUGACGAAAAGCAGAGUGAUACUUAGCUAUCGACUGCCUGAUACUGAGCCGACAACCAGGGGUAGAAGGAGGCGCAGCUCGCCUCUCAGAGGUCGAUUUCGCUCGCAAGGUUAUCUCGGAAAAGACAAUCUAGAGUGGAGGCCGCCAGAGGGGAAGUCAUUCAACAAGCGGGUGCAGCUCUAAGAGCUUGAGAGGCUACGUCCCUAUCAGCUGGCUCGAAGUCGCCCCUGACUUUGGAUGCAGACAAUCGCGCUCCAAGCUUGUAAGGCACAUACGAGUGUGCGUGUCAGGCGACAAGUUGGUAGUGGGGGCAGAGUGAGGGAUGCAUCAAGAUCAACAAGGGCGCUCGGGGGCUACUGGGCGCUCCAUCACUGACACAACUAGUUCACUCGGCACAAGACGAAGGGCCACCGAGGGGUGCUGUGUGCGAGGGCAGGCUGUGCUUGGCAAACAUGUUGUUAUUGCUUGCUACACUAAUUAAUGUAUUAUGAAAUACAUGAACUAA
rnacentral:lncRNA from 1 species